rnacentral:rRNA from 1 species
CCUACGGGAGGCAGCAGUGAGGAAUAUUGGUCAAUGGGCGCGAGCCUGAACCAGCCAAGUCGCGUGAGGGAUGAAGGUUCUAUGGAUUGUAAACCUCUUUUAUAAGGGAAUAAAGUGUGGCUCGUGUCCCUUUUUGUAUGUACCUUAUGAAUAAGGAUCGGCUAACUCCGUGCCAGCAGCCGCGGUAAUACGGAGGAUCCGAGCGUUAUCCGGAUUUAUUGGGUUUAAAGGGUGCGUAGGCGGGCUUUUAAGUCAGCUGUGAAAGUCUGUGGCUCAACCCUAGAAUUGCCGUUGAAACUGGGGGGCUUGAGUAUGUUUGAGGCAGGCGGAAUGCGUGGUGUAGCGGUGAAAUGCUUAGAUAUCACGCAGAACCCCGAUUGCGAAGGCAGCCUGCCAGGCCAUGACUGACGCUGAUGCACGAAAGCGUGGGGAUCAAACAGGAUUAGAUACCCCUGUAGUC